rnacentral:rRNA from 1 species
CAGCAGCCACGGUAAUACGGAGGGAGCUAGCGUUGUUCGGAAUUACUGGGCGUAAAGCGCACGUAGGCGGCUUGGUAAGUUAGAGGUGAAAGCCUGGAGCUCAACUCCAGAAUUGCCUUUAAGACUGCCGAGCUAGCAGGUGAGAGAGGUAUGUGGAACUCCGAGUGUAGAGGUGAAAUUCGUAGAUAUUCGGAAGAACACCAGUGGCGAAGGCGACAUACUGGAUCAUUACUGACGCUGAGGCUCGAAAGCGUGGGGAGCAAACAGGAUUAGAUACCCGCGUAGUCCCUGUCUCUUAUAC